AGAGUUUGAUCAUGGCUCAGAACGAACGCUGGCGGCAGGCCUAACACAUGCAAGUCGAACGCCUGUAGCAAUACAGGAGUGGCGCACGGGUGAGUAACGCGUGGGAAUCUGCCCUUCGGUACGGAAUAACCGCGGGAAACUGCGGCUAAUACCGUAUACGCCCUCAGGGGGAAAGCUCCGGCGCCGAAGGAUGAGCCCGCGUCCGAUUAGCUUGUUGGCGGGGUAAAAGCCCACCAAGGCGACGAUCGGUAGCUGGUCUGAGAGGAUGAUCAGCCACACUGGAACUGAGACACGGUCCAGACUCCUACGGGAGGCAGCAGUGGGGAAUAUUGGACAAUGGGGGCAACCCUGAUCCAGCCAUGCCGCGUGAGUGAAGAAGGCCCUAGGGUUGUAAAACUCUUUCGGCGGGGAAGAUGAUGACGGUACCCGCAGAAGAAGCCCCGGCUAACUUCGUGCCAGCAGCCGCGGUAAUACGAAGGGGGCUAGCGUUGUUCGGAAUUACUGGGCGUAAAGGGCGUGUAGGCGGCUCACUAAGUCACGUGUGAAAGCCCCGGGCUUAACCCGGGAAUUGCGCGUGAGACUGGUGAGCUAGAAUCCGGGAGAGGGUAGUGGAACUCCCAGUGUAGAGGUGAAAUUCGUAGAUAUUGGGAAGAACACCAGUGGCGAAGGCGGCUACCUGGACCGGUAUUGACGCUAAGGCGCGAAAGCGUGGGGAGCAAACAGGAUUAGAUACCCUAGUAGUCC
rnacentral:rRNA from 1 species